UAAAAAUUUCGUUUAACAUACGAGACUUCUAGACGAGGCGUGUGUGGAGAUAGAGGGACGGAUCGGACCGACGCUCCCUGAGGAGCUCGGAAAGGUAGAGACCCGACCCCCCGAGUGCACGAGGUGUUUGUUUGAUAGAUGACGGAACGCGAACGUGCACGUGCCCAGAGGGCCAGCACAGAUCGCGAACCGCUUGAAUUCUUCAAUGAUCCUUCCGCAGGUUCACCUACGGAAA
rnacentral:misc_RNA from 1 species